ensembl:lncRNA
GGGACCCUCCAGCCUGUCCUCUAGGUCGGGACGGUCCGCUUGGGGGGCAGGAAGUGGCCCGUUCCUCCUUUCGGAGAGCGUUUCCGGAGCGCCUACUGUGUGCCCCACGCUGGGGGGUGGGGGCCGUUAUGAGGAGGAGAAGUCAUGCAGAUCCUAACGUUUGUUAGUCUGUUCCUCCACCGGGAUCUCCCGCCGGCGGGUUGAUUGUUGCCCUUGCUCGGAGAGGAAACUGAGGCCUAGUUGGUCCGGGGAUUUACUGCCCGCCCCCCAACUGCACUAUUUACUUUGGUGGAAAAUGUGAAACAACUCGCUGCCUCUCACUGGGAGCCGAUUGCUUACAGUCACUCUGGGACCUCCGCACAGCAGUAUGUGUACUGGGGUAAGUCUGAGCGCUAACCUAGGGGAUGGCCUAGGCUUAUUUAUUAUGUCGCUUUGUGGUGUCCUGGCACGAAGGGGGGUUGGGUAUACUUGCUGAUAACUUUCGUGGGAAAGCUUUUUCCAGCUGGGAGGUUAUUUUGUCAUUUUUCUCUCAUCCAGUUUUGGGCCCUGCCCUGCUGCCUUUUUUCAUGUACGGAAGAGCUGUGUCCUUGAGAGGGAAGGACUGGUAUGGUGAUGAACCUGGGGUCCUGACUCCUGGGACAGGUCUGGGGUGGAGCUUGGAGAGGAGAGAGAGGUGGGCGGGGCCUCAGAGCCCAGGCUAACCUGGCGGCCCCCAGGAGGCCAUUUUAGGAAGAGUCCAGGAACUCAAGGGCCCUCAGGCUAGAUAGAAAAGGGACUGGACCGGUUGCAGGAGGCAGGCCAGCCUCUGCACCUGAAAACCCAAAUCGGAGGCUCGUUGGGAUGGGGGUCUUUCUUGAUUGUUCCUGUCUCUAGUGAACUUGAUUGUUGCAUAGGUUCAAAUGAAUGUCAUGCAAAUGUAUUUCUCUUAAAGAAAAAAAAAAGGAAUAAAAAAGGAACUUCCCUGGUGAUCUGGUGGUUAAGACUUCCAUGCUUCCAAUUCAGGUUGCACCGGUUUGAUCCCUGGUUGGGGAACUA